rnacentral:rRNA from 1 species
UAGGGAAUCUUCGGCAAUGGACGAAAGUCUGACCGAGCAACGCCGCGUGAGUGAAGAAGGUUUUCGGAUCGUAAAACUCUGUUGUUAGAGAAGAACAAGGACGUUAGUAACUGAACGUCCCCUGACGGUAUCUAACCAGAAAGCCACGGCUAACUACGUGCCAGCAGCCGCGGUAAUACGUAGGUGGCAAGCGUUGUCCGGAUUUAUUGGGCGUAAAUCGAGCGCAGGCGGUAUCUUAAGUCUGAUGUGAAAGCCCCCGGCUCAACCGGGGAGGGUCAUUGGAAGCUGGGAGAAUUGAGUGCAGAAGCGGAGAGUGGAAUUCCAGGUGUAGCGGUGAAAUGCGUAGAUAUAUGGAGAAACACCAGUGGCGAAGGCGGCUCUCUGGUCUGUAACUGACGCUGAGGCUCGAAAGCGUGGGGAGCAAACAGG